GUCUAUGGCCAUGCUACCUUGAACAAGCCCAAUGCCAUCUGAUCUUGAAAGCUAAGCAGGGUCAGGCCUGGUUAGCACUUGGAUGGGAGACCACCCAGGAAGACCAGGUGCUGUAGGCA
rnacentral:rRNA from 1 species